GCUUUCCUUCCAUCAGAGAAGAAAAAAUGCUUUUGCUUUUUGAACUGGCACGUUUUUCCUUGACCUUGAAAUGCAUGGAGAUCUCCUCUGACUGCCUCUCAGACCUCAAGAAGAUGGAAAGCAAAGAUCCUGGGAAGCUGAUUGAAAUGGAAUGUCUGGAGUGUGAAUCAGAAGCUUUAAGACUUGAAAAUCAGAUGAAAAUGUACAUCCGG